CCCCUAGAUGUUCUGGGCCGCACGCGCGCUACACUGAACAGUUCAACAAGUCUUAACCUUGGCCGAUAGGUCUGGGUAAUCUUUGAACGCUGUUCGUGAUUGGGAUAGACCUUUGCAAUUAUGGGUCUUCAACGAGGAAUUCCUAGGAAACGCAAGUCAUCAGCUUGCAUUGAUUACGUCCCUGCCCUUUGUACACACCGCCCGUCGCACCUACCGAUUGAAUGGUCCGGUGAAAUCUCGGGACGGCGGCUUGGUCGCUUGCGUCCGACUGCUGAAACUUGAUUAAACCAUAUCAUUUAGAGGAAGGUGAAGUCGUAACA
rnacentral:rRNA from 1 species